rnacentral:rRNA from 1 species
CCGAGGAAAAGAAAUCAACCGAGAUUCCCCCAGUAGCGGCGAGCGAACGGGGAGGAGCCCAGAGCCUGAAUCAGUGUGUGUGUUAGUGGAAGCGUCUGGAAAGGCGCGCGAUACAGGGUGACAGCCCCGUACACAAAAAUGCACAUAUUGUGAGCUCGAUGAGUAGGGCGGGACACGUGGUAUCCUGUCUGAAUAUGGGGGGACCAUCCUCCAAGGCUAAAUACUCCUGACUGACCGAUAGUGAACCAGUACCGUGAGGGAAAGGCGAAAAGAACCCCGGCGAGGGGAGUGAAAAAGAACCUGAAACCGUGUACGUACAAGCAGUGGGAGCCUCUUAAUGGGGUGACUGCGUACCUUUUGUAUAAUGGGUCAGCGACUUAUAUUCUGUAGCAAGGUUAACCGAAUAGGGGAGCCGAAGGGAAACCGAGUCUUAACUGGGCGUUAAGUUGCAGGGUAUAGACCCGAAACCCGGUGAUCUAGCCAUGGGCAGGUUGAAGGUUGGGUAACACUAACUGGAGGACCGAACCGACUAAUGUUGAAAAAUUAGCGGAUGACUUGUGGCUGGGGGUGAAAGGCCAAUCAAACCGGGAGAUAGCUGGUUCUCCCCGAAAGCUAUUUAGGUAGCGCCUCGUGAAUUCAUCUCCGGGGGUAGAGCACUGUUUCGGCAAGGGGGUCAUCCCGACUUACCAACCCGAUGCAAACUGCGAAUACCGGAGAAUGUUAUCACGGGAGACACACGGCGGGUGCUAACGUCCGUCGUGAAGAGGGAAACAACCCAGACCGCCAGCUAAGGUCCCAAAGUCAUGGUUAAGUGGGAAACGAUGUGGGAAGGCCCAGACAGCCAGGAUGUUGGCUUAGAAGCAGCCAUCAUUUAAAGAAAGCGUAAUAGCUCACUGGUCGAGUCGGCCUGCGCGGAAGAUGUAACGGGGCUAAACCAUGCACCGAAGCUGCGGCAGCGACACUAUGUGUUGUUGGGUAGGGGAGCG